rnacentral:rRNA from 1 species
AUGGCGACCGCGCAGUGCUGCGACCCCGUCGUCUUCGCCGUCGACCUCGGGGGAGGCGACCCCUGCCUCUGCCGCGUCGCCGCGGAGCCGCAGCUCGCCAUGGCGGGCCUCGACGCUGACCAUCUCCUCGCGCUCUACAGAUCCUGCGGCGGCCUCCUUCCCGGCGUCGCCCACCUCUCCUCCGCCGCCUGCGAAGGACCCGCUCCCCCGGCCGCCGUCGUCAGCAGCCAUCGGCCACCCGCGCCAGCCUCGCCUGCCCCACGACGAACGCAGACAGCGCACGACGCACCACCGCCCGCCCAGGAGCACGACGGUUCCAUUCUACGACAUGCACAUGCAGAGGUCAUUUGA